AAAACAAAGCAAAUGAUUAGCUUCUUAUAAGUUUCAUUAAUAUACUAUUCUUGCUAUCUACAUAUCGUGGUUAUCGCACAUUAUUACUUCUAAGGCUGUAAAGAACAGCCGUCCACAAUGUCUGAGAAAUGGACUUUACUCUGUGGACAAUGCUCUUAGACUAAGGCUUUUUCCUCUUCGGUUGACCAAUCACUACAGAGCUCUGCUUUUCUCCGGGAUUUAAAAGUCAGCCACAGCUGGGGCAGUCAGGACAGUUCCUUUUUCCCUCCCUAGAGGAAAGAAAGAGCCUUAUUUUCUGGCUAAACAGGUUUACACAGCUACAGGAACAAUGGAUUCCAGGCUAGCUUUAGCCACGGAGGAGCCCAUUAAGAAAGACAGCCUGAAGAGAUAUAAGAUCCUUUGUGCGGUUCUUCUUGCUUUGCUGGUGAUCGUGUCGCUUGGAUUGGGCCUGGGCCUGGGACUCAGGAAACCUGAAGAGCAUAUAGGCAGCUGCAGGAAAAAAUGCUUUGAUUCGUCACACAGAGGACUGGAGGGUUGCCGCUGUGACUCCGGAUGCACAGACCGGGGAGACUGCUGCUGGGACUUUGAAGAUACCUGUGUGAAAUCAACUCAAAUCUGGACGUGUAAUUCGUUCCGCUGUGGGGAGACCAGACUAGAGGCAGCCCUCUGUUCCUGUGCGGAUGACUGUCUGCAGAGGAAGGACUGCUGCACUGACUACAAGGCUGUGUGCCAAGGAGAAGUCCCAUGGGUGACAGAAGCCUGUGCCUCAUCCCAGGAGCCCCAGUGUCCAGAAGGGUUUGACCAGCCACCGGUUAUCUUGUUCUCCAUGGACGGCUUUAGAGCGGAGUACUUACAAACAUGGAGCACCCUGCUGCCAAACAUUAACAAACUGAAAACAUGUGGACUCCAUUCCAAAUAUAUGAGAGCAAUGUAUCCCACCAAAACCUUUCCAAAUCAUUAUACCAUUGUCACGGGUUUGUAUCCAGAGUCGCACGGCAUCAUUGACAAUAACAUGUAUGAUGUGUACCUCAACAAGAAUUUUUCACUUUCUUCAGUGGAGAAAAGUAACCCUGCCUGGUGGAGUGGGCAGCCGAUUUGGUUAACAGCAAUGUAUCAAGGCUUAAAAGCUGCUUCCUACUACUGGCCAGGAUCAGAUGUGGCUGUCAAUGGCUCCUUCCCUAACAUCUACAGGAAUUACAGCAAUUCCGUCCCAUAUGAAAGUAGGAUUGCUACACUGUUGCAAUGGCUGGACCUGCCCAAAGCUGAACGACCCAGUUUUUACACCAUAUAUGUGGAAGAGCCCGAUUCUGCGGGGCACAAGAGUGGACCAGUCAGUGCUGGAGUCAUUAAAGCCUUACAGUUAGUUGAUGAUGCCUUUGGGAUGCUGAUGGAGGGUUUGAAACAGAGGAAUUUACACAACUGUGUCAACAUAAUCGUUCUGGCUGAUCAUGGAAUGGACCAGACCUCUUGUGACAGAGUGGAAUACAUGACAGAUUAUUUUCCUGAAAUAAACUUCUACAUGUACCAAGGACCUGCCCCUCGAAUCAGGACUCGUAAUAUACCUCAGGACUUCUUUACCUUUAAUUCCGAAGAGAUUGUCAGAGACCUCAGCUGUCGAAAAUCCGAUCAACACUUCAAACCCUACUUGACUCCGGAUUUGCCGAAACGACUGCACUAUGCCAAGAACGUCAGGAUUGACAAAGUUCAUCUAAUGGUGGAUCGGCAAUGGCUGGCUUACAGGAACAAAGGGAGUUCCAACUGCGAAGGCGGAACACACGGUUACAACAAUGAAUUUAAAAGUAUGGAGGCAAUCUUUUUGGCACAUGGACCCAGCUUUAAAGAGAAGACUGUUAUCGAACCAUUUGAAAACAUCGAAGUCUAUAAUCUACUGUGUGAUCUUCUGCACAUCCAACCGGCACCAAACAACGGUUCUCACGGUAGCCUGAAUCAUCUUCUGAAGGCACCAUUUUACCAGCCGUCGCAUGCAGAGGAAUUGUCAAAGUCUGCUGGCUGUGGUUUUACUACUCCAUUGCCUAAGGACUCACUAAACUGCUCCUGCCUCGCACUGCAGACUUCUGGUCAAGAAGAGCAAGUCAACCAAAGACUAAAUCUCAGUGGAGGAGAGGUCUCAGCAACAGAGAAGACAAAUUUGCCAUUUGGGAGGCCCAGGGUGAUACAGAAGAACAAAGACCACUGUCUGCUUUACCACAGGGAAUACGUCAGUGGGUUUGGGAAAGCUAUGAAGAUGCCCAUGUGGAGUUCAUACACCGUUCCCAAGCCGGGAGACACAUCAUCUCUUCCUCCCACAGUUCCAGACUGUCUGCGGGCUGAUGUCAGGGUUGAUCCUUCGGAGAGCCAAAAAUGUUCCUUCUAUUUAGCAGACCAGAAUAUCGACCAUGGCUUCCUCUAUCCUCCCGCAAUCAAAGGAAAUAAUGAGAGUCAAUAUGAUGCUUUAAUUACAAGUAAUUUGGUCCCAAUGUAUAAAGAAUUCAAAAAAUGUGGGACUACUUCCAUAAAGUUCUCCUUAUAAAAUACGCUAUAGAAAGAAAUGGAGUGAAUGUGGUUAGUGGACCCAUAUUUGAUUACAAUUAUGAUGGCCAUUUUGAUGCCCCCGAUGAAAUCACAAACUAUGUAGCUGGCACCGAUGUUCCUGUCCCGACACACUACUUUGUGGUACUGACAAGCUGUAAAAACAAAACCCACACACCCGACAGCUGCCCUGGGUGGCUGGAUGUCCUGCCCUUUGUCGUCCCUCACCGGCCCACCAACGUGGAAAGCUGUCCUG